GUGUAAAACAUUUAUUUGGAAUUUAUCAUCAGGAUAUAACAUAAUAGCCAAUAUUUUGAACAUCCUAAACUAACUAUAGGCCUAGUGUAGAAAAUGCCCCCAAUAUGUUCAGGGAGGACAACCGGUGAUAAACUCUGAGGAGAGAUCAUAAUAGUAUCAAGCUCUUCAAAUGAUAAACUUGUGAAUUAAUAGGCAUAUUCACUGACCGUGAUAUAUAGGCAUAAAAAAGACAGUGAUAAAAAAAACACAAAGGCUAUUAUUUGAAUUGCUGACAGUAAAUCAAAGACGCUGUAAAGCACGUGUCAAACUCAUUCCAGGAUGGGGCCGAGUGUACUUGAUUGAUGAAAUAAAGUCGCUACACUAAUUAGUGAUGAACUACCCUCACCUGGUUGUCUAUGUCUUAAUUGAAAGGCCAGGACCAAGUUGGCGAAACCAUGUUUUAUGGGACGCUUAGGGUAAAUUGUAGGUUUCCAUUGGAGGGGCAAGAUAGAUAGGUGGUUUUGGGGACGAGCCUGUUGACCUUGACGUCACAAUCGGUGGGGGUAUAAAAUCCCCUGGAUUUACACUCUAAUCAUGUACCGUGAGAGGGGAAAAAGCCAUAGACAGACCGGUUACGCUACUCGCCUAAUUGAGGAUAAGAACGAACCCGACAAAAUGACUAAAAUGGCGAUCACUUACAUUGGCUUCCUUCUCCUUGCCAUACAGUUAUCACAAGUCUUCUCACAAAACAUUAGGCGUAGGCCUACAACAAGGUCCCCGGCGAUGACUGUGAACACUACCAAAGUUGACGGCGGCACGCGUUCCAAUAUGACCAAGGUACCCGAUGUUGUCAGUACCACCAACAUCACCAUUCCCAAAGGAGCCUGCGCGUCCUUGCAGUCCAGUGCGUUCACGCUGCUCAUUCUCAUUGUGGCGGGCUCGCUCCUACAGGGCCGCUUAUAGAGGGUUCAUAUGCACUAAAUACACUGCCACGAAUAACAUCGGCGGCACACUUUGUACCUUUGUACCUUGUACGUACUUAAACAGUGACUGCGCGGAAGAGAACACCUUUCUACUCAUGGGAAUUAUUUGGAUCACACCUCCCCGGCCACUUCAACCCAGUAUAGGCAGGCAUACACUCCCUGCCCUAUGGUGUGGUCCCCUCAAUGGAGGCAGGCCAUGAUGAGGAUGUAUUAAACUCUGCUCUUUGACUGUUGGUUCCUGUGUCCAGACAGCAGGCUGUCGUUCUGUAACUUCUGAAGCGUAAAUGUUGGUUGUGCCUUGGAAAUCAACUGCAUAUAAUGACAUGUUGGUUGAGAUGCAUUCUGGAAUUAACGUAACCUAUAUUUUGUUUUCUCUGGCACUUGAGUCCUAACUCCAACCUGGGCUUGUACCAGUGACCCUCUGAACACAACUGCCUCCCACCGUUAACCAGCUAGUCACUUCACACCUGUUACACUUGCAAUUUCUACUCCUGAAACUGCAUUGUAUACUUUGUCAGAGGCUUGAUGUAGUCUUGUGAUUUGAAGAAUGGCUACAUUUUAUAGGUCAAGUUCUCGGCCUUUCAUUUUUAACUUAAGCGGUGUUGUAAUAUGCUUAGAUUUAUUUUGUAUUGCCAGAUUUAAUAAAGCUAUGAUAUGUACAAUUAAUAUUCAUUGUUGUACAAUAAAAUGAACAACCUUACUA